rnacentral:rRNA from 1 species
UAGUAUCAGCGUGUCAGCCGCCGCGGUAAUACGUAGGGUGCGAGCGUUAAUCGGAAUUACUGGGCGUAAAGCGUGCGCAGGCGGUUCGUUGUGUCGGUGGUGAAAUCCCCGGGCUUAACCUGGGAAUGGCCAUGGAAACUGGCGAACUGGAGUGCGGCAGAGGGGGGUGGAAUUCCGCGUGUAGCAGUGAAAUGCGUAGAGAUGCGGAGGAACACCGAUGGCGAAGGCAGCCCCCUGGGCUAGCACUGACGCUCAGGCACGAAAGCGUGGGGAGCAAACAGGAUUAGAUACCCUGGUAGUCCACGCCCUAAACCAUGUCAACUGGGUGUUCGGGAAGCGAUUUCUGAGUACCGUAGCUAACGCGUGAAGUUGACCGCCCGGGGAGUACGGCCGCAAGGUUAAAACUCAAAGGAAUUGACGGG